rnacentral:rRNA from 2 species
AGUCUGAUGGAGCACGCCGCGUGAGUGAAGAAGGGUUUCGGCUCGUAAAACUCUGUUGUUAAAGAAGAACAUAUCUGAGAGUAACUGUUCAGGUAUUGACGGUAUUUAACCAGAAAGCCACGGCUAACUACGUGCCAGCAGCCGCGGUAAUACGUAGGUGGCAAGCGUUGUCCGGAUUUAUUGGGCGUAAAGCGAGCGCAGGCGGUUUUUUAAGUCUGAUGUGAAAGCCUUCGGCUCAACCGAAGAAGUGCAUCGGAAACUGGGAAACUUGAGUGCAGAAGAGGACAGUGGAACUCCAUGUGUAGCGGUGAAAUGCGUAGAUAUAUGGAAGAACACCAGUGGCGAAGGCGGCUGUCUGGUCUGUAACUGACGCUGAGGCUCGAAAGUAUGGGUAGCAAACAGGAUUAGAUACCCUGGUAGUCCAUACCGUAAACGAUGAAUGCUAAGUGUUGGAGGGUUUCCGCCCUUCAGUGCUGCAGCUAACGCAUUAAGCAUUCCGCCUGGGGAGUACGGCCGCAAGGCUGAAACUCAAAGGAAUUGACGGGGGCCCGCACAAGCGGUGGAGCAUGUGGUUUAAUUCGAAGCUACGCGAAGAACCUUACCAGGUCUUGACAUACUAUGCAAAUCUAAGAGAUUAGACGUUCCCUUCGGGGACAUGGAUACAGGUGGUGCAUGGUUGUCGUCAGCUCGUGUCGUGAGAUGUUGGGUUAAGUCCCGCAACGAGCGCAACCCUUAUUAUCAGUUGCCAGCAUUAAGUUGGGCACUCUGGUGAGACUGCCGGUGACAAACCGGAGGAAGGUGGGGAUGACGUCAAAUCAUCAUGCCCCUUAUGACCUGGGCUACACACGUGCUACAAUGGAUGGUACAACGAGUUGCGAACUCGCGAGAGUAAGCUAAAUCUCUUUAAAGCCAUUUCU